AUGCCAGCCGCCGCGGUAAUACCGGCAGCCCGAGUGAUGGCCGAUCUUAUUGGGCCUAAAGCGUCCGUAGCUGGCUGCGCAAGUCCGUCGGGAAAUCCACUCGCCCAACGAGUGGGCGUCCGGUGGAAAUUGUGUGGCUUGGGACCGGAAGAUCCAAGGGGUACGUCCGGGGUAGGAGUGAAAUCCCGUAAUCCUGGACGGACCACCGAUGGCGAAAGCACCUUGGAAGGACGGAUCCGACAGUGAGGGACGAAAGCUAGGGUCUCGAACCGGAUUAGAUACCCUGGUAGUCC
rnacentral:rRNA from 1 species